rnacentral:rRNA from 1 species
CCUUAGAGUUUGAUCCUGGCUCAGGAUGAACGCUAGCUACAGGCUUAACACAUGCAAGUCGAGGGGAAACGACAUCGAAAGCUUGCUUUCGAUGGGCGUCGACCGGCGCACGGGUGAGUAACGCGUAUCCAACCUGCCCAUCACUUGGGGAUAACCUUGCGAAAGUAAGACUAAUACCCAAUGACGUCUCUAGAAGACAUCUGAAGGAGAUUAAAGAUUUAUCGGUGAUGGAUGGGGAUGCGUCUGAUUAGCUUGUUGGCGGGGUAACGGCCCACCAAGGCGACGAUCAGUAGGGGUUCUGAGAGGAAGGUCCCCCACAUUGGAACUGAGACACGGUCCAAACUCCUACGGGAGGCAGCAGUGAGGAAUAUUGGUCAAUGGGCGAGAGCCUGAACCAGCCAAGUAGCGUGCAGGAUGACGGCCCUAUGGGUUGUAAACUGCUUUUAUAAGGGAAUAAAGUGAGCCUCGUGAGGCUUUUUGCAUGUACCUUAUGAAUAAGGACCGGCUAAUUCCGUGCCAGCAGCCGCGGUAAUACGGAAGGUCCGGGCGUUAUCCGGAUUUAUUGGGUUUAAAGGGAGCGUAGGCCGGAGAUUAAGCGUGUUGUGAAAUGUAGACGCUCAACGUCUGCACUGCAGCGCGAACUGGUUUCCUUGAGUACGCACAAAGUGGGCGGAAUUCGUGGUGUAGCGGUGAAAUGCUUAGAUAUCACGAAGAACUCCGAUUGCGAAGGCAGCUCACUGGAGCGCAACUGACGCUGAAGCUCGAAAGUGCGGGUAUCGAACAGGAUUAGAUACCCUGGUAGUCCGCACGGUAAACGAUGGAUGCCCGCUGUUGGUCUGAAUAGGUCAGCGGCCAAGCGAAAGCAUUAAGCAUCCCACCUGGGGAGUACGCCGGCAACGGUGAAACUCAAAGGAAUUGACGG